UACGGAGGGUGCAAACGUUGUUCGGAAUUACUGGGCGUAAAGCGUGUGUAGGCGGCCACGUAAGUCGGAUGUGAAAGCCCCAGGCUCAACCUGGGAAGUGCACUCGAUACUGCGUGGCUUGAGUAUCGGAGAGGUUGGUGGAAUUCUCGGUGUAGAGGUGAAAUUCGUAGAUAUCGAGAGGAACACCGGUGGCGAAGGCGGCCAACUGGACGAAUACUGACGCUGAGACACGAAAGCGUGGGGAGCAAACAGG
rnacentral:rRNA from 1 species